GCGGUCGUGGUGGAAUAGGCAGACACGCUACUUUGAGGUGGUAGUGAGGAGACUCGUGGGGGUUCAAGUCCCCCCGACCGCACCA
rnacentral:tRNA from 1 species